GGGGAUUUAGCUCAGCGGCAUAAGCACCCGCCUUGCAAGCAGGUAGUUGUGGGUUCGAUCCCCGCUACCA
rfam:Cavia porcellus supercont2_76 genomic scaffold, whole genome shotgun sequence.